UUCUGAUAAAUUAAUACAUA
rnacentral:misc_RNA from 1 species